rnacentral:rRNA from 1 species
GAGAUGAUGUGAGGAAGUUUUCGGAUGGAAUCACAUUAUUUUAGCGGCGGACGGGUGAGUAACGCGUGAGCGACCAACCUUACACAGGGGGAUAACGGACCGAAAGGUUCACUAAUACCGCAUGAGACCACGGUGUUGCAUGACACAGAGGUCAAAGGAGAGAUCCGGUGCAAGACGGGCUCGCGUCCGAUUAGGUAGUUGGAGGGGUAGCGGCCCACCAAGCCUAUGAUCGGUAGCCGACCUGAGAGGGUGAUCGGCCACAUUGGAACUGAGAUACGUCCAAACUCCUACGGGAGGCAGCAGUGGGGAAUAUUGGGCAAUGGGGGAAACCCUGACCCAGCAACGCCGCGUGAAGGAAGAAGGUUUUCGGAUUGUAAACUUCUGUCCUUGGUGAAGAGAAGAAGACGGUAGCCAAGGAGAAGCC